GAUGAACGCUGGCGGCGUGCUUAACACAUGCAAGUCGAACGGUGAAGCUCCAGCUUGCUGGAGUGGAUCAGUGGCGAACGGGUGAGUAACACGUGAGCAACCUGCCCCUGACUCUGGAAUAAGCUCUGGAAACGGCGUCUAAUACUGGAUACGAGAAGGGUCCGCAUGGGCACUUUCUGGAAAGUUUUUCGGUUGGGGAUGGGCUCGCGGCCUAUCAGCUUGUUGGUGAGGUAAUGGCUCACCAAGGCGACGACGGGUAGCCGGCCUGAGAGGGCGACCGGCCACACUGGGACUGAGACACGGCCCAGACUCCUACGGGAGGCAGCAGUGGGGAAUAUUGCACAAUGGGCGAAAGCCUGAUGCAGCGACGCCGCGUGAGGGAUGACGGCCUUCGGGUUGUAAACCUCUUUCAGCAGGGAAGAAGCGAAAGUGACGGUACCUGCAGAAGAAGCACCGGCUAACUACGUG
rnacentral:rRNA from 1 species